rnacentral:rRNA from 1 species
GAAAAGACUCUCGGCAACGGAUAUCUCGGCUCUUGCAUCGAUGAAGAACGUAGCGAAAUGCGAUACUUGGUGUGAAUUGCAGAAUCCCGUGAACCAUCGAGUCUUUGAACGCAAGUUGCGCCCGAAGCCAUUAGGCCGAGGGCACGCCUGCCUGGGUGUCGCG